GUCGGUCUCAUACGGUCUCCUCUACUAUGGUGAAUUGUGGCAAAUAUAGUCAUGAAGGGUGAAUUAUUGCAGCGAUUUUAAUUGAAAAAAAAGUAGUGUAAAGAAUACUAAACAUAGUUUUUUCCCUCACCAGGAGACACUUUCAGGCAAUUGAUUUGGCAUCCAAAAAUGGGAAGGCAAGAAUGGAUUCUGAAAAGACCAGAAAAAUAAUAUGUAGUUGAGCAUUUUUCUACAGAAAUGCUGUCUGGAAGUGGAUUUAAAAAAGAUUCUUUUCAGAUUUAUUCAAAGAUGGCAUUGGUGAGAAAGAGGUGAAUGUAAAUGCUUCAACUUCUGCCUCAACAUCUUCGAUGAAUGAAUGAAUGAAACCAGAAGAAACACAAACAUAUCCUAGUUUAUCUUCAGCCACUCCUAGGUAUAAAAGUUACAAUCAAUGGUGAAGAAUUUGAAACGAAAAUUAGUUGCAACUCCAGAGAUGAAAUCUAUAGAUAAGUGAUGGCAGAUUUUAUGAUCUCCCAAUUGAAGUUUCGAAAACGGAAACUUCAUGGCUAUAGGUAUUCAGUCGCUUUCGAACAAUUGGCCCUAAUAAUAUACUUCUUGGGGCCAAUAAGUGUAACAAUAUCUACAAAAAAGAUUUUUUGCCACACAAGCCAACACUUUGUAGAAUAACCAAAAAUGGGGAUUUCUCUAUUAGUUGAAAUUAACACAUAUUUCUGGCCAUUUCAUUGAAGACAAGGAAUAUGGAGGAAGCAGCAAAGGAUUGCGUUGUGUGUGUUGACGAGAUGUCAAUAAAAGCGCGUUUAUUUUACAAUAACUCAUUGGAUCAAAUUAUUGAAUUUCACCAAUCCAUUAGAUGCAGGUCCUAUGAACCCACAAAUUGUUUGUUGGUUAUCAUGGCAAGGGGUAUCCAACAUAAUUGGAAGCAGCCUGUGGCUUACUUCUUUGUACAUAAUCCUUGUGAAGUCUAAUAUUUGCAUGAGAUAAUAACCACAAGCAUAAGAAAAUUGAGUCACAUAGGAUAGAAUAUUCUGGCAUUAAUAAGUGACCAAAGUACAAAUUUUUCCAAAUUUUCUAAUGAGAUUGGAGUUACAAUUGAUGAGUCAUAUUUCUAUACAGGGUCUUUCACGAGGAACCUCA